rnacentral:rRNA from 1 species
GGUGAACGCUGGCGGCGUGCCUAACACAUGCAAGUCGAGCGGUGCAGUUUGAAGGCUUCGGUGGAAAGCUGCAUAGCGGCGGACGGGUGAGGAAAACGUAGGAACGUGCCCCUUGGAGUUGGAUAGCCACGGGAAACUGUGGGUAAACCGACAUAGACUCGAGAGAGUAAAGGCCGAAAGGUGCCAAGGGAGCGGCCUGCGGCCCAUCAGGUAGUUGGUAGUGUAAAGGACUACCAAGCCGACGACGGGUAGCCGGUCUGAGAGGAUGGCCGGCCACAAGGGCACUGAGAGACGGGCCCUACUCCUACGGGAGGCAGCAGUGGGGGAUUUUGGACAAUGGGCGAAAGCCUGAUCCAGCGACGCCGCGUGGAGGACGAAGCCCUUCGGGGUGUAAACUCCUUUUCUCAGGGAAAAAGGAUGAUGGUACCUGAGGAAUAAGCCCCGGCUAACUACGUG